CUACUUAUUUUCACUUAACGCUCAUUUCAUUCAUUCAUUCAUUCAUCCAUCAUUUUUUCCAGAUUCUCUCCUUCGUCGGCACAAAUUUAUCUAUUUUCAUUUUAUUCUCGCGCUUCUAUUUUUUGCUGUUCGUGCUCACGAAUAAGCGAAUUCAGGAGGCAUUCUCUGAACUUUGAUUUCAGUCCUUAGGUUCCAACUCCAAAGAUGGAUAUUGCAGAAGAGAUACGUGGUCUGCAACUUGAUUCAUCUGAAGAUGGUGGUGCAAUGGAUGUGGAGGAGACUAAGCCAAAUGUUGAUGAUGCUAAAAUGGAGGAAGGGAUUGAAGAGCCCUCUAAUAUGCAAGUUGACCUAAAAGAUAAGGGAAAAGUGGAAGCUCCCAUCACUGAAAUGAAGGAAGCAGUGGAUUCCAGCGAAGAGGCUAAGAACAAGAAACGUCAUCUGAAUGUUGUAUCUAUUGGUCAUGUUGAUGCGGGUAAGUCAACAAUUGGGGGGCAAAUACUUUUCCUCAGUGGGCAAGUUGAUGACCGUACAAUCCAGAAGUAUGAGAAAGAAGCCAAGGAUAAAGCUCGAGACAGCUGGUACAUGGCAUACAUUAUGGAUACCAAUGAAGAAGAACGUUCUAAGGGGAUUACUGUUGAAGUUGGAAGAGCACAUUUUGAGACAGAGACAACUAGGUUUACCAUUUUGGAUGCACCGGGUCACAAAAGUUAUGUUCCAAAUAUGAUCAGCGGGGCUUCACAAGCUGACAUUGGCAUUUUGGUUAUUUCUGCUCGGAAAGGGGAGUUUGAAACUGGAUAUGAAAAAGGAGGUCAGACGCGAGAGCAUGUUUUGCUUGCAAAGACCUUGGGUGUUUCUAAGCUUAUAGUUGUUGUCAACAAGAUGGAUGAGCCCACUGUCGGCUGGUCAAAAGAAAGGUAUGAUGAAAUCGAGUCAAAGAUGAUUCCUUUUUUGAAAUCCUCCGGCUACAAUGUUAAGAAAGAUGUCCAGUUUCUUCCAAUAUCAGGUUUAGUUGGAUCUAACUUGAAAACAAGAGUAGACAAAAGUGUAUGUCCAUGGUGGGAUGGCCCAUGUCUUUUUGAAGUCCUAGAUGCUGUUGAAGUGCCUGCACGUGAUCCAAAUGGCCCCUUUAGGAUGCCCAUUAUAGACAAAUUUAAGGACAUGGGAACUGUUGUUAUGGGCAAAGUAGAGUCUGGCUGUAUACGUGAUGGUGACUCACUGAUUGUCAUGCCAAACAAGGUUAAUGUGAAAGUUGUUGCAAUUUAUGUCGAUGAAGAAAAGGUUAAACGCGCAGAACCUGGUGAAAAUCUGCGAGUCAGAUUGUCCGGUAUUGAAGAAGAAGAUAUAUCAUCGGGCUUUGUCUUGUCAAGUGUCUCCAAGCCAAUUUCUGUUGUUAAUGAGUUUGUUGCUCAGUUGCAGAUCCUUGAGUUGCUUGAUAAUGCAAUAUUUACUGCUGGGUACAAGGCAGUCUUGCAUGUUCAUUCUGUUGUUGAAGAAUGUGAAAUUGUGGAGCUGCUGCAGCAGAUUGAUACAAAGACUAGGAAACCGAUGAAGAAGAAAGUUCUUUUUGUGAAGAGUAACUCUAUUGUUGUGUGCCGAGUCCAGGUAAACAACAUGAUAUGUGUGGAAAAGUUUUCUGAUUUUCCGCAGCUUGGAAGGUUUACUCUCCGAACUGAAGGGAAAACUGUUGCUGUGGGGAAAAUUACAGACCUUAGAAACUCUUAAAACAAUUUUGCUAUGAUAGAGAAAUAUGCCUCUCCUACAAAAAGCCCAACCGUUUGCUUGUCCUGCUGUGCCUUGGUUCAGAAGUAGCAGCAUGUGAGGACAGUAUAUUUAUAAUUUGACGGGAAACCUACACUUUUUUGGCUGCUCAUUGCUGUUUUUGGGUGCAAGUCGUCAUAAAGAUCCAAAUAAAGCUUGCAUUUGGAAUGUGAUGCAUUUGCAUCUCUCGGUUUCAAAUCUAAUCUGAAAUUUGUAGUUUGGGGUGUUGUACUUUAUAUACAUACUCCUUGACGCUUUGUAUGAGAGUCUACAAUUGGUUGAUGCAUAGAAGGGUCUGUUUACUGCUUUAGCCAACCAACUCGUAGUUUAUACCUUAUAGGCUGGUUAUAUAAUUAUACUUCCGGUUUAGGGCAGUUCAGCCGUGUCGAACUGUUGCACUUUUCAGUACUCGUAAAACUACAUAUUUUUGGACUAGUCAAAAGUGUGAAGGUUAGCAAACCAUUUUGUUUGUUGAUUUCCAAUCAUUAACUUCGAGAAACUUUUAUCCCAUCAUUUUUAGGUCUUUUUUUUUCGUUCCAUUUACCUUUUGAAAUUGAUUUAUUUUCUAAUUGGGUUGAUCCAAAGAUUCUGAGAGUUGUUUCUCAUCAUUAUUUUUUAAUUCCAAAAAACAAUGGCUUUUGACCUUAAAUAAAAAAAUUGGAGUCAUUUGUGUUUUGC